UCUUUUCAGGUCUGUGGUUGCGAAGUUCUCUGUGAGCUUUUAGUCCAUGACAGACGAGGUCAAAGGGAUCCACGUAAGUUUGCGUGUGUGCACGCAAACGAUCAUGGCUCGUCCUAGAAGUAAGCCAUACCGCCUGUUAUAUCACAAAGAGACAAAGGGUCUCGCAGGCGAGAGAACUACUAGUGGAGCUGCUGCGGUAGCAAAGCAAACGUUCCAGUAUGCGAGUGUGGGGUCAAAUACCAGGUCAGCUGAAAAGA
rnacentral:ncRNA from 1 species